rnacentral:rRNA from 1 species
UACGUAGGGUGCAAGCGUUAAUCGGAAUUACUGGGCGUAAAGCGUGCGCAGGCGGUUCUAUAAGACAGAUGUGAAAUCCCCGGGCUCAACCUGGGAACUGCAUUUGUGACUGUAGAGCUGGAGUACGGUAGAGGGGGAUGGAAUUCCGCGUGUAGCAGUGAAAUGCGUAGAUAUGCGGAGGAACACCGAUGGCGAAGGCGGCUCGCUGGGCUUUACCUGACGCUGAGGCGCGAAAGCGUGGGGAGCGAACCGG